UAGCAAGGUUAACCGUAUAGGGGAGCCGGAGGGAAACCGAGUCUUAACCGGGCGUUAAGUUGCAGGGUAUAGACCCGAAACCCGGUGAUCUAGCCAUGGGCAGGUUGAAGGUUGGGUAACACUAACUGGAGGACCGAACCGACUAAUGUUGAAAAAUUAGCGGAUGACCUGUGGCUGGGGGUGAAAGGCCAAUCAAACCGGGAGAUAGCUGGUUCUCCCCGAAAGCUAUUUAGGUAGCGCCUCGUGAAUUCAUCUCCGGGGGUAGAGCACUGUUUCGGCUAGGGGGCCAUCCCGGCUUACCAACCCGAUGCAAACUGCGAAUACCGGAGAAUGUUAUCACGGGAGACACACGGCGGGUGCUAACGUCCGUCGUGAAGAGGGAAACAACCCAGACCGCCAGCUAAGGUCCCAAAGUCAUGGUUAAGUGGGAAACGAUGUGGGAAGGCCCAGACAGCCAGGAUGUUGGCUUAGAAGCAGCCAUCAUUUAAAGAAAGCGUAAUAGCUCACUGGUCGAGUCGGCCUGCGCGGAAGAUGUAACGGGGCUAAACCAUG
rnacentral:rRNA from 1 species